rnacentral:rRNA from 1 species
GACGAACGCUGGCGGCGUGCCUAACACAUGCAAGUUGAGCGACGAACCAGGGCUUGCCCUGGGGCAAAGCAGCGAACGGGUGAGUAACACGUGGGUAACCUACCCCGAUAACCGGGACAACCCGAGGAAACUCGGGCUAAUACCGGAUGUGCUCACUGGACUUCGGUUCAGUGCGUAAAGGAAGCUUCGGCCUCCGUAUCGGGAGGGGCCCGCGGCCCAUUAGUUUGUUGGUGGGGUAACGGCUCACCAAGACCGCGAUGGGUAGCUGGUCUGAGAGGACGAUCAGCCACACUGGGACUGAGACACGGCCCAGACUCCUACGGGAGGCAGCAGUGGGGAAUCUUGGGCAAUGCGCGAAAGCGUGACGCAGCAACGCCGCGUGGGGGAAGAAGGCCUUCGGGUUGUAAACCCCUUUCAGGAGGGACGAAGGUUCGGCGGUGAAUAGCCGUCCGGACUGACGGUACCUCCACAAGAAGCCCCGGCUAACUACGUG